UGACGGUAUCUAACCAGCAAGUCACGGCUAACUACGUGCCAGCAGCCGCGGUAAUACGUAGGUGGCAAGCGUUAUCCGGAUUUAUUGGGCGUAAAGGGAACGCAGGCGGUUUUUUAAGUCUGAUGUGAAAGCCUUCGGCUUAACCGGAGAAUAGCAUUGGAAACUGGAAGACUUGAGUGCUGGAGAGGCUAACGGAAUUCCUAGUGUAGCGGUGAAAUGCGUAGAUAUUAGGAGGAACACCAGUGGCGAAGGCGGUUAGCUGGACAGUAACUGACGCUGAGGCGCGAAAGCGUGGGUAGCAAACAGGAUUAGAUACCCUG
rnacentral:rRNA from 1 species